rnacentral:rRNA from 1 species
CCUACGGGAGGCAGCAGUGAGGAAUAUUGGACAAUGGGCGCAAGCCUGAUCCAGCCAUGCCGCGUGCAGGAUGACGGUCCUAUGGAUUGUAAACUGCUUUUGUACAGGAAGAAACACUCCUACGUGUAGGAACUUGACGGUACUGUAAGAAUAAGGAUCGGCUAACUCCGUG